UCAGUCUGUUUGUCUGUUCGUCAGUCCUGCUUGUCUGUCCUUCUCUUUUAUCCUCAUAACACGCCACCCACUUUGUGUUAUCUCUCGGAGAACGGAGAAGUACUCGUUGAAUGUUGGUAAUACGCCAGAAAAGCAUGGAAAUUACGAGCUUGCGAGAUCCGUCAGCUAGCUCGACUCUAUUGGCCAAGAAAAUCGAGAAUGCGAUGGGAAAAACAUAAUUACUCAGAAUAGAAUCUAUCGAGGAAAAUUUGGAAGACACUUUAAUGUGCAUCUUUCAUCUAUUCGGAUCAUUUUGUUGGGGAUUGAUGUGCAAUAUGCUUUGUCAAAGUAUAAUCGAUCAUAGCUCGGCCACUUUCGAACAAGCUUACUUAAUUCCUUGGUAUCUGAUUCGUCCAAAAACACGACGAUUAUUAUUGCUAUUGAUGAUGAACUCAUUAAAACCAUGUUACAUAUCUGUAGGAAACAUAUUUGUAUCUUGUAAUGAAUUUUUCGUUACGUUUCUACAAACACUAAUGUCAUACACGAUGAUAAUAUAUUCACUGCAGUAAUAUUAAUGUUUUUAUGAAGAAUGUAUGAAGAAAAUAUAAUGGAGAUAUAGAUGCACGGAGGGAAAGGCAAACAAAGAGGAAAAAAAAAAAAGAAAGAAAGAAGGAAAGAAAGAAAGAUAAACAAAUGUUAAUUAACAAUAAAUAAACGCACAAAACAGUAAAGCAUGCAUAAGACAUAAAUUUAUAAAAAUCUAUAUGAUGUAUCCGUAAA